GCCGGCUUAGCUCAGCUGGUAGAGCAGCGGUUUUGUAAACCGAAGGUCGGGGUUCGAUUCCCUCAGCCGGCGCCA
rnacentral:tRNA from 1 species